GAAGGACCUUGAGAGAGUGCGCUGUUCUCCAACUUCUGUAUUAAGUCUCUUUGUAUCAAGUCUUUAGCAGAAUGUUUCUCAGGCCAUCCUGGCUUUGUGCUGUUCUUCAGCAAUCGAACAGAUCCUGCAAUUUCAACAGAAAACUGCUGAGGUUCACAGACUCAUCUGUCUGGCCUCAAAGCGUGAUGGUCUCAGGUGAUUGGGCCAAGACACCCAUUAGUGUGAGCGAAGCAAAUGUAUUCGUGAGGGGCCCCGGGGGUCUCCACCGUGUCUUUGAAACCUGGAGGAUGACUUGUCCCUGGGGAUGCUGCUUGCUUUGUCUGAAGAUACAAGUCAUAUUGCAGGGCUUGAAAAACGUGCCUGGCGGUGACAGACUUCUGGAGAUCAAUCUGAUUAGCUUAUCAAAGGGAAGAUUAGAAAGCAACCUGAUCGUGCUGUUUAAAUAUGUUCACAGAGAGCGUGCGAGGUACAAAGUAAUUUUUAAUCUCGUGGAGAAAGGUAUGACAGGAGCUGGGGUCUGCAGGCAGGAGCCACACCGAGCAGGGAAGCCAGGCUGAGAAAAGAAAUGGUUCAAAUGCUUAAUGAAGGAAAAUGCAUCAUCUGUGUGCAUCAUCGGGCAUUGCAGUUAGAGCAGCUCCUCCUGGGCACAGCAGCCGUGGAACAGUUUUGCUGUAGUCUUGGCUAAAGGGGUUGGGGCCAAGUA